CACCAAUGUCCAUCAGCAGUUGAAGCAAGUUAUUGAUGCGGCAAUGAAAUUGUGCAAUGCUCAAAGUGGAUCUAACAAAAGGGUUAGCCUCAAUUGGAUCAAUGUUUUGUGUCCCCGUCAGUCGGGAGGUACCGAGUGUGGAUAU